rnacentral:rRNA from 1 species
GACGAACGCUGGCGGCGUGCUUAACACAUGCAAGUCGAACGAGACGAUUUAGAAGCUUGCUUUUAUUGAGUCGAGUGGCAAACGGGUGAGUAACGCGUAGACAACCUGCCGCAAAGAUGGGGACAACAGCUGGAAACGGCUGCUAAUACCGAAUACGUUCUUUUUGUCGCAUGGCAGAGGGAAGAAAGGGAGGCUCUUCGGAGCUUUCGCUGAAGGAGGGGCUUGCGUCUGAUUAGCUAGUUGGAGGGGUAACAGGCCCACCAAGGCGACGAUCAGUAGCCGGUCUGAGAGGAUGAACGGCCACAUUGGGACUGAGACACGGCCCAGACUCCUACGGGAGGCAGCAGUGGGGAAUCUUCCGCAAUGGACGAAAGUCUGACGGAGCAACGCCGCGUGAACGAUGACGGCCUCGGGUUGUAAAGUUCUGUUAUACGGGACGAAUGGCGUAGGCGGUCGAAUACCGUUACGAGUGACGGUACCGUAAGAGAAAG